CAGGUCUAAGGGAAAGGAGACUCACUGCCUGCAAUUCAGUGACAGCUACAAAUACACCCCCAGACCCAGGACGUGGCCCUUCCCCAAAACACAAUCAAAUCAGUUUUCUUCUCCCAAAUGACAAAUGGAAAACUGAAAAAGAAGAAGAAAGCUGUUGCCAUUCACUAGCUCCUGGAGUGUAUUAAAGAUGACAUGGGCACAGCAUCUUUUUUUUCUGGGAAUACAAGAUACAGCCUUUUGCAUUUCUGCACAAAAAUGUGUUUUGUCCCUAAA